rnacentral:misc_RNA from 1 species
GGAUUCCACGUGACACUCAUGCGCAUGCGCGGAAGAUAACCCCAUGUUGCCUGUUUAAGGGUCAGUUCCUCUCCUUGUCGCUAAAAAACAGACGACCUCCUAAAAAAGUCUUAAAAUGUUGAUAAUUCGUUAAAAUUGCUACUAGAGAAAUAAAAAAUGUUUUAAAUAUUAACGAAACUAUGAAAUUUUACCUAUGAAAAGAAAAAUCAGCAUUAAUUAAAGAGGGAGGGUCACGCCAAAAUUUUCAAUUCAAGGGAGGUAAAUCAUGAGCCUACAAUUUGCAUUCCGUUGUAGAAUUACUCUCCCUUGGUAGUAGGUAAAAAUAUAAGAUGCACUUAUAUUUCAGAGUAAUAUUAGAUGGUGAAGUAGUACAGUGGUAAAGCGCCCGCCUCAGGUGUCAGAGGUCGUGUCUUCGAAUCCCGAUAAUAACGGUUUUCAAUUUUUUUUAGUAUACGGUAAUCAAAUAAACUACUUUCUACAUGUAUACGCGAGAAUAAAUGCUGAUCCCUAAUAUGAUUUCAGUAUGCCCCGGGAAUACACCGAUGAACAACUUUCACUUGCCAUUUCGGCAGUGAAGAAAGGGAAACUGACGUUGUCCAAGGCAGCACGAGAGUUCCAUGUUCCUAGAACAACUCUUUUUGAUCAUGUUAAACAUCCGGAAAUAAGAACUAAAAGGGGUCCGGCCAAACAAUUGACAAAAGACGAGUCCAAUGGUCUAGUGCAAUUUGUACUUUACAUGGCAGGGCAAGGUUUUCCAAUGACCCGGAAGAUGGUCCGUUGUUACAAACAGGAGAUGUAUAAGGCCUCUGGACGCUCAAGUCUUUUCAAUUUAGACAAAGGACCUAGCGACAAUUGGUUUCGCAAACUGAAGAAAGAUUACCCACAGCUUCCUUUCCGAAAGCCCCAGAGCCAGGACAGGGGGAGAGGCCGCAUGUCAAACAAGAAGGUGGCUGGGGAAUUUUUCCAGUUCUGGAGAGAUAUAUUGGAGAAGCAAUCCCUGUUAGAUAAACCGUCACAGAUUUUCAACUGCGAUGAGACUGGGUGGUCAGGAAAGGAGUCAGGUCGGGGAAAAGUGUUAGGGCCUAGGACAGGAUUUUUGUAUCAGCAGAAGCCCAUUGCUGCAGACCACUUGUGUGUUUCGGCAAACGGACGAUUUAUGCCGACGAUGAUCAUCUUUAAGGGUAGUUUGCCGCAUCGCAACUACAAGGACGGCUUGCCAGGCUCAUGGCUGUUCAGCACAUCAGAGUCAGGCUACAUGGACUCAGAACUAUUUUAUUAGUGGUUCAUACGAAUAUUUCUUCCGAAUUGUGGUCGGGCCCGUCCGGUUGUAUUGCUGAUGGAUAAUCAUGACUCGCACAUUUCACUGCCCUUAGUGGAGAAAGCGAGGGAAGAGCAGGUGUUACUAGUUGGACUUCCUUCACACACCACACACUACUUGCAGCCGCUAGAUGUGCACAUCAUUGGGCCAGUGAAAGAAAAGGUGACCAGUCUGGCGUCAAGUGUUGGGUUUUCUAAACCCCACACUUCUA